UACAGAGGUCUCAAGCGUUGUUCGGAUUCAUUGGGCGUAAAGGGUGCGUAGGUGGCGCGGUAAGUCAGGUGUGAAAUUUCGGAGCUUAACUCCGAAACUGCAUUUGAUACUGCCGUGCUUGAGGACUGGAGAGGAGACUGGAAUUCACGGUGUAGCGGUGAAAUGCGUAGAUAUCGUGAGGAAGACCAGUGGCGAAGGCGGGUCUCUGGACAGUUCCUGACGCUGAGGCACGAAGGCCAGGGGAGCAAACGGG
rnacentral:rRNA from 1 species